ensembl:lncRNA
GAUGGAGAUGUGACCAUGUACUAGGGAUGGAGAUGUGACUAGGUACUAGGGAUGGAGAUGUGACCAGGUACUAGGGAUGGAGAUGUGACUAGGUACUAGGGAUGGAGAUGUGACUAGGUACUAGGGAUGGAGAUGUGACUAGGUACUAGGGAUGGAGAUGUGACUAGGUACUAGGGAUGGAGAUGUGACUAGGUGCUAGGGAUGGAGAUGUGACCAGGUGCUAGGGAUGGAGAUGUGACCAGGUACUAGGGAUGGAGAUGUGACUAGGUACUAGGGAUGGAGAUGUGACUAGGUACUAGGGAUGGAGAUGUGACCAGGUGCUAUGGAUGGAGAUGUGACCAGGUGCUAGGGAUGGAGAUGUGACUAGGUACUAGGGAUGGAGAUGUGACUAGGUACUAGGGAUGGAGAUGUGACCAGGUGCUAUGGAUGGAGAUGUGAC